rnacentral:rRNA from 1 species
CACGUAGGCACCAAGCGUUGUCCGGAUUUAUUGGGCGUAAAGAGCUCGUAGGCGGUUCAGUAAGUCGGGUGUGAAAACUCUGGGCUCAACCCAGAGACGCCACCCGAUACUGCUGUGACUUGAGUCCGGUAGGGGAGUGGGGAAUUCCUGGUGUAGCGGUGAAAUGCGCAGAUAUCAGGAGGAACACCGGUGGCGAAGGCGCCACUCGGGGCCGGUACUGACGCUGAGGAGCGAAAGCGUGGGUAGCAAACAGG